rnacentral:rRNA from 1 species
AGCGCAGACGGUUGAUUAAGUCUGAUGUGAAAGCCCGGAGCUCAACUCCGGAAUGGCAUUGGAAACUGGUUAACUUGAGUGCAGUAGAGGUAAGUGGAACUCCAUGUGUAGCGGUGGAAUGCGUAGAUAUAUGGAAAAACACCAGUGGCGAAGGCGGCUUACUGGACUGUAACUGACGUUGAGGCUCGAAAGUGUGGUAGCAAACA